UACGUAGGUGACAAGCGUUGUCCGGAUUUACUGGGCGUAAAGAGCGCGCGGGCGGUCGAUCAAGUCGAGUGUGAAAGCCCCCGGCUCAACUGGGGAGGGUCAUUCGAUACUGAUCGACUCGAAGGCAGGAGAGGGUAGUGGAAUUCCCGGUGUAGUGGUGAAAUGCGUAGAUAUCGGGAGGAACACCAGUGGCGAAGGCGGUUGCCUGGAGCUUUGCUGACGCUGAUGCGCGAAAGCGUGGGGAGCGAUCCGG
rnacentral:rRNA from 1 species